GUCUCAGGCCGUAUCAGCCUGAAGGCGCCCGAUCUCGUCUGAUCUCGGAAGCUAAGCAGGGUCGGGCCUGGUUAGGAUCUUGGAUGGGAGACCACCUGGGAAUCCCGGGUCGCUCGAGGCU
rnacentral:rRNA from 1 species